CCUACGUGAGGCAGCAGUGAGGAAUAUUGGUCAAUGGGCGGGAGCCUGAACCAGCCAAGCCGCGUGAGGGAAGAAGGUACAGCGUAUCGUAAACCUCUUUUGUCAGGGAACAAAGGCGGUGACUAGUCCCCGGAUGCGGGUACCUGAAGAAAAAGCAUCGGCUAACUCCGUGCCAGCAGCCGCGGUAAUACGGAGGAUGCGAGCGUUAUCCGGCUUUAUUGGGUUUAAAGGGUGCGCAGGCGGCCUGUUAAGGACGCGGUAAAAGCCCGGGGCUCAACCCCGGCGAGCCGUGGAAACUGGCGGGCUUGAGUUUGAGAAAAGUAGGCGGAAUGCGCGGUGUAGCGGUGAAAUGCUUAGAUAUCGCGCAGAACCCCGAUUGCGAAGGCAGCGUACCGGCUCCACACUGACGCUGAGGCACGAAAGCGUGGGUAUCGAACAGGAUUAGAUACCCCUGUAGUC
rnacentral:rRNA from 1 species